AAUACUUAGCGUUGUGACGUCAAGAGAACGACAUACACCACAAAAGUCGUCCAAAAAAGUGGUUCUCUGUGCAUAAAAUCCAACAAAAGGACAAGUGUGUGCCAUCCUGGGACUUGUGGUGCAUAAAAGUGUUGAAAAUUGGUGUGAAAAAGUGUCGCAAGUGCUGGGAAAAUGUAAAAGAAAUGUGGGGGCGACGGUGAGAAUGUCGCGCGUUUGUGCAUGGUGGAAAAUUGGGUGAAGCACACACACACUGAUAAGGGGUGGUUGGUGAUACUCGAGAUACCAUUUGAGUGGAUAUAAAACUUCCAACCAGAGAGGAGACUUUUUGGCUAACACAGAAAAAGGAAGAUUGCGAAAUAAACGAGCAACUUUAGACUUUUAAUUUGGGGCACACAGGGGUGCUUUUGCCCAGGAUAAACGAAGGAGCUUCUCUUAGUUGCGGAAAGCUUUCGAGUGCGAAGGAGUGAUUGUGGUGGUGGAGAUUACAGAAAAAAAACGGGGGGCUCCAUCUUGGUGUGAUUUUCAUGUAGAAUUGUGUUUGAAUUUUUACGCGAUUUGUGAAGAACUUUUUCUCAAAUUUUAUUAAUUUAUUUUCUUCUACAUCUCUGUGCGAGCUUUUAACAAUGAGCUGAGGUAGUUGGUUUUUGUUGUUUCUUUUUUUCUUAUACUUUACAAAAGCUCCCUCGACUUUUCUCCUUGCUGAAUGUCCUUCCUUGUUUUACACUGUGUCAUCGAAGAAAAAGUCCACGAAUGUGUGCGCGUGUGUGUGUGUGAAAAGUCCCACAAUAGAGUUUGUUCGGAAGAGCGAUAAAUUUUUCGAAGGAGAUACAUAUAUAGAUAAAACAUGGAGCUUUUCGAUGAGGGCGCCUGGUGGUUACUAAGCAAUACACUUGCGCUGCCCACCAGAGAGUCUGCCAGAGGGUUGGUGACUCGAUGUGCGUGAAGACGUGUACCAGGUGUCUGUGCGGGCAUCUACCAAGUGCCACAUCCGCGUGAUUGGGAUAUGGUGAGAAAGAGGAAGAAACACGGAGAUGAUGGAAAAACGAUGACAAUGCCCGGCGCCAUAUUUUCGUUCAUGGCCCAUGGAUUUUUUGCAUCAUUGUGAAAUCCAACACCAACUCUGGCCACCCACUUGGACGCACUCUUCGGACACGCAGUAGCUACCCCCGGGAAUCUACGGGUUCACCCGCAGUAUUCAUCAAUCACACCAUUCAUCGUGCAAAGUGCAUUCUUUUGCAUUUGAGUGUUGUGUGAGGGGUGGAAAAAGAAGAAAAGUAAAAAAGAAAAUUCCCUCGACAGAAAGGGAGUAUACAAGAGUGUGGCAAAAGAGACAAAAGGAAUGCUUUAGUGGGGAAUCUCUCUGCAGAAAACACAUAGUCUUGUGCUGACAAAGUGUACUUCUUCAUUGCGACACAACACUAAAAGCUCCACACUUCUUUCCAGAGCCUCCAGGAAGGAAGUGUGGGCAGGUCAAUGAAGGAGUAACGUCACAAAAAAAUACACACGCUAGUGAAUUGUGCGAGAGAAAAUUUGGUACAAAUGUCCGAAAAGUGUGGGAAAUUGGAGAAAAUUGACUCUAUGUAUAAACAUUGUAAAGUUCAAAAGGGCAAUAGUGCACGUGUCUCAGUUAUUGCGCGUAAAAUAACGCGCUUUUUCCCUCGGCACGCACAAACUAUGAUCACAGUGGAUGUUUGAGACGAGUUUCUUGGUGACACUGUGAGUGUGAGUGGCGAGGAAGAAGAGGUUAAAAGUGUUACAUCGUCGAGAUGGCCGACAUGCCGGAUCUAUCGCAUCUGACCGCCGAGGAACGCGCCAUCAUUGAGUCGGUCAUGAUGCGCCAAAAGCAGGAGGAGGAGCGCGAAAAUGAGAUCAUGAGACGGAAGCAGGACGAAGUGGCCGUCCUGGAGGAUACAAUAAGGCACAGAGCGGAACAGCAGAAGAAAGCGGGAGUGGAGCUCGAUGCCACCUGCCACAUUUGCCUCAAGACAAAGUUUGCCGAUGGCAUCGGACAUAUUUGUCACUACUGCAGCAUAAGAUGUUGUGCCAGAUGUGGCGGAAAAGUCACUCUUCGGAGCACUAAGACGAUAUGGGUUUGCAUUUUGUGCCGGAAGAAGCAGGAGCUUCUCUCCAAGACUGGUCAGUGGAUUCACAAGAAUACAGUUGCGGAUGGACUGCUGAGGAAUCGCCUCGAAGCCGACAUGACACACAUGGGUCUCGAACCACAUGACCCUUCCGAUAAGCGUCCAAAGCUCGAGAGAGCACGUAGUGCUGCUGAAAAGGAAAAUCUUCCGCUACAGAGGUCAGGGAGUAUGCUAAGACGUCAGUACUCACAACAGGAACAGCCUACACAUCGAAUGGCAGAAAGUGCGACAGAUCUCAUGAGUCCCGGACAACGACGUAUGCAGCCCCAGUAUCCGGGAAUGCAGCAAUAUCAGGGGCAGCAAGGGUAUGGGAUGCAACAGCAGCAACCUAUGGGUUCCAUGGGUAUGCAGCCUCAACAGCAGCAAUCAAUGCAACAGCAAAUGCAGGCUCAGCACUCGAUGCAGAUGCAAUCACAGCAGGGAAUGUACCCAGAGGAUGACCCUCGAUUUUAUCAGGGUGAAAUUGAUGGUUUAAUGAGGCAACAUCCGCACUUGGUGCACCCAAAGCAGCAGCAACGUUUCACCACACAACAGCCGCAACUGCCUCAUCAGCAGCAGAGUCUGAUGGAUGUACCGAAGAAGCACAAAAGACCCCUCGGUGGUCCAUACUUAACUCAACAACGCUCCUUCAGUAGUUCCGAGGAGGAUCUUCGAUCGACGCCGGAGUUUGAAGCGGGACACGGAAAAGUGCUUGAGUCACACUCGCGACUACUGGCGUCAUCAUCGGUGGUUACGGGCGGUAGCAUCCAUCCCCCGGGCAGGUUGGAUGUCCAUCAUCGCAACACGUAUAAUCGCACGAAUCACAACCGGCAGGUGCCGGCACAUCACAAUCCGCAAAUAAUUGUGGGCGAGGUGGCGGGCACAUCAUUUGGUGGUAGCAGCAGUGUCACGCCAACCACCACGUCCACCUCGUCUGCAUCUACGCAGAGCACGUACGACAGGUACACGAGUGAGCCGGAUCCAUAUUGGGACGAAACGGCGGACAGCAGGCGUUUCACGGAGCGCAGAAAGAAGACGGUGCGCUUCGAUCGGCAGGACUCCGAGGAUUGGAGUGUAUGGGAUGCGGAACGUCAAGGGAGUCAGGAUUCCGCCACGAAGGAUUCAGGCAUUGAUACAAGCAGCACAUUUACCAGUAGUGAAGACUCUAAUCGUGGCGAUGGCACAAAGAAUCCAGUUAGUUGGCAAGUGUCGGCAGAUGGGACUCGAAUGAUUGGGCACAUGAUUCUACGGAAGAGUGUCGACGGGGCGGAUGUUUUGGGACUCAAGGUAGCUGGUGGGGUACCUCUGGCAGGAGGUGGACGUGGGGCCAUCAUUGACCAAGUCAAACGUGGCUCAAUUGCCGAUCAGGAGGGGCAUAUAAAGCCAGGUGACGAAGUAAUUGAGUGGAAUGGGCGAACAUUGCCUGGAAAAACGGCCCAAGAAGUAUACGACAUUGUUUUCGAGGGACGCCACGAUCCUCAAGUUGAAUUGAUCGUGUCGCGCGUCAUUGCAGCCAAUCGUCAGGCUGCCCAGGCAUCGUGGCGCCAAUCUCACUCACCAGUACGCACACAUCAGUCAGAAAUCUACGAUAGACGUGAUAAACCUAGUGUCUUGGUGACGUCACCAGGAUCACCAGAUAUUCAUAGUCUCAAUCGUGCAACAGCUACGAGGUACGCCAAUCGCCUCACACCCGCCGGACCACUUCCGUACGAUCCCAACGUUGGUGGUCGAAUUCAAGUGAAAUUGGGCUUCGAGGCGCCCAGCCUCCAGCUAAUCGUUACCAUCGUCUGCGCUGCUGGGCUUACUGUGAGAGCCAACGGUGUUGCCCGCAAUCCCUACGUUAAAAUUUUUUUACUGCCUGGCUCCGACAAAUCAAAACGAAGAACGAAAACACUUGCCAGUACGUGUGAUCCACGGUGGGGCCAAACAUUUGUAUAUUCCGGUCUACGGCGGGCCGAUCUUCACAAUCGAUUGUUGGAGAUUACUGUUUGGGAUUACGUUCGAUACGGUGCCAAUGAUUUUUUAGGUGAAGUCAACCUCGAACUGGGAAACCAUCCACUCGACGACGAGGCGGAAUGGUAUAUUUUGCAGCCACAUCAGGACUCACCCAAUCAUACUUUGCGUAAAGAAGAUCCAAAUGAUAUGGAAAGCAUAUUAACCCCCACUGAUCAUUUGUCACCACCAAGUACAACGUCCCGUUUAAGUGAUUCGGAUACAUCUGAAUGCGAUAUUGAUGGCAUUACGGCCGGCCGGGAUGGUGCUAGUUUGUCAUCUUUAGGGAGUUCAUCAAGUCCUCCUCCACCUGAGAUCGAUCUGCACGAGGCGCGACGUUCGAGGCGUGACAUGUCACCACAGGGUCGUAAACGAGUGGCCGGAAUGGUUUCCCGUGAUUAUCGCACCGUCUCCGGGGUGGGUCAGGCGUAUCACAAUCAACAAGCGACGUACACAAGGCGCAAUGGGGCAGCAGCAAUGAGUCAGCGAAGCCAUUCAGCAGCCCCCAGUGAGAACUAUCGCAGUGGCAGCCCGCGGCGGGGAUCGAUCUCUCCACCAGAUGAUAGAUAUGACUAUCCCGUUCUUCCAACACAUUCUUAUGCUCCACGAUUUCAAUCUAGAUCGGCUACAGCCACACCAACGGGCUCACCGAAGAAGCGUCAACUGCCACAGGUGCCACAGGCGUCGCGAAAUGCCAUAAUCAGGGAGAGACUUGCACAAGACUUUGAGGAACGUCCUGGGGGUGGACGCUUUGCACGCCAUCGUGUACGUCAUAGCCAACAUCAUCAGCAAACGUACCGGAGUACAGGAAUGGGUGGCUGGGAACGUCACUACACAGGCCUGUCGGACAGCGACUUGGCCAUGCAUUCGAUGGAACCAAGAUUAAGGCCCAGACACUCCCUGUCGCCAGACAAGGACUUCAUGGGAGAUUUUGGGGAUUCAGACAUGGAAUCCGUAGUCAGUGUUACAUCGAGUGCAUUCUCCACACAAUCGGAGAGACCGCGUGGUUCUCGUGGAUUGAGCGCCCACCGGAGUGGGAAGAAACAGCGAAGUGAUUCUCUCGAUCGGCAUGCAACGUCCGUUAGUUCCCUACCAGGAGAGUUCAAGUAUCAUUCCUCAAAAAUUCCCUUUGCUAGAAGUCAAAUUCCACCACGACCAACAUCAAUUGCCUCUUCUAUCAGUAGACAAUUGUUGAAUAGUAGGUUGAGUAGUUCUGCUGAUAAACCCCUGGAUAAACCCGAAAACCUCAUUGAUGAAGCUCCCUUUCAGCAAGUAAAUCCAAUGGGAUUUAACAUUCCUGGUAGUCAGGCUGAAUCCUUCGCAAUGACUUCAUCAUUUCCAAGUCAGAUUACUCUUUGUCAAUCACCAGGAAGAUUCUCUAUCCGACAGGAGAGGUACAAUAAUGGUAGAUCUGUUUCCAAUCAAACAAUUUCCAUUCUAAGUUCUCAGGAUAAUGGAAUAGUCUUGAAGUCUUCGUACUCUGAUCAAAAUAUUCCAUCAAUUUUCUGGCGUGAACAGACAAAUCAACCGAGAGAAAUUAUAUUUUCAAAUCAAUUGCCUACCUAUGCAUCCAAUCAAACAAUUUACAACCCGAGAUCAGGACAAAUUACUCCAUUAGUUUCUGAUCAAAUUCCUGAAUUUCCUGAGAAAUUUUCAAACCUUCCUGAUUAUCAGUUUGAGCAUCCUCCUGCACGCUCUGAAGGCAUAAAUCAGGCUUACUAUGGAAGAUAUUCCUUGCAGAAUUCUCCUACAGGAGGAAAUCCUUGGGCUGAAAAGGUUCCAGACUGGAAUGAGAAGCCACCAUUUGCAGAAAUGCCCUUUGAAGGUGUUCGCCUAAGUAGGACUCAUUCUUUAAUCCUAGACGAUAAUAUAAUUGAUAUUGAGUAUGAUUCAGAUACAGGAUGGAAGCGAAAACGUGUACAUAAGAAUAAAUUUUAUAAGUUCCCAAAAGAUUACUUUCAAGGCAAUCCUCGCGAAAAGAAGGUCCCAAAGGAGGAUCCUACCAGAACUUCUUUGCAUAGUUUGAAUAAAAAGAAAAUUGAACCUAGAGAAAAGUUAGAUCCAUCUAAAACUAAAGAUAAAACUGAAAUUAGCUUGAAAGAUUUAGAACUCAAGUACAAAGCAAAAGAAGAAAUAAAAGAUCCGGUAAAAGAUGAGCAAAAAGAUGAAGAAAAUGAUAAGAAAGAUGAUCAAUCUGGUGAUGAAAAUAAACCGUCAGAGAUUUAUUUCAAAGAAUACGAACCUAAUAAAUCCUUUUUGGAUUCAACUCAAUCUAAAACAGCUGCAGAAGCAAUUUUAGGCAAUGAAACUGAUUCAAUCAAGUCAAUUAUUGACGAAGUUAGAACAAGGCUUCUUGAGAAACCCUCUGUAACUAAUUUCCUGAGUGAUGAAAGCUCAAAAGGUGCAUCAGGAAGUGAGGAUAAUGCCUCAACAGAGGAAAAACUCAAUAAGUAUAUCCGUGAAAAGGCAAUUGGGUUUGAAAAUGAAAGUUCUCUUGAUAACGAUGUAAAUCCUGAAAGCUCCCAAGGACUUCCCAAUGUAGAGUCGGGAAAUGAGGAAAAUUCCGAAGGUGAUGAUGAUGUUUUCAAAAAAUGCUCUUCAGAAGCUAUUAAAGAAACCCCAGAUGGGCAAGCUGAAGUACGCGAAUCCCCCUUUAUUCAUGGUAGGAAUUCCUCGUUUAGCGGGAAAUCUGCUAAACGUUCCACGCGCUAUGGGAAACGUCGGUCAAGCAGCUUGGAUGAGUUGUCCUCGCUGCAAAAGAUUGUAUCGCAGAUGCUUGAGAAAUCAAAUGAUCGUAGUUCCGUCAGUAUCAAUGAUACCCCAGAGUAUUUCCACUAUGAUAAGUCUCCUGUAGUUGGUAGACGUUCCGGUAGAAGGGCUAACAAUUCUGCUUCUCGUUCUUCUUCCACCCAAUCCAAAUCCUGCCGGCUUGCUGGUGUUGCCCUCCUGCAAACAACACCCAAACGCGGUGCUCUGAAAACGCCACGACACAGUGGGGAUUACGAUGUGAGGGAGCGAAGGAGAGAAGGCAACGGCAACGGACGCAGUGCCUUCCGACAGAGAGAUCGUGAUCGUGAUCUUAGUGAUCGUGAGCAAGGAACCUCCCAGCAGAGCUCAUUCAAUCGUAGUACCUCAACAGCUGAGGGUACAAUCGAAGAUAAAAUUGAUGGAAGCCUGAGUGACACAGCGGUGGCUCUUCAGGGUACAUUGGAUACUUCGAGACGGAAAACUGAACAACGAUCCCCGAAAAGUGAGACAACGCCAACGCGCGAACGUGAGCGUUUUGGUGCAGGAAUGGGGAAGAAAAGUAACUCCACAUCCCAACUCUCUGCCACCGGUCGGAAGAGACGGUUGGGGUUUGGCAAGAAGGGUAAGAAUUCCUUUACGGUGCAUCGGAGUGAAGAGGUGCUGCCUGGUGAGAUGCGUGGCGGGCUAUCGAGAGGCUCGUCGGCCUCCAGUGACGGCGAGGGAAGUGGCGAUGGCGACAGGUGGUCUCCGUCCUUGCGAACGACGGAUGGGGGGCAACUGUCGGACUUCAUUGAAGGCCUCGGGCCAGGACAGCUCGUUGGACGUCAAGUCUUGGGCGCGUCUGCUCUCGGGGACAUUCAACUCUCCCUGUGCCAUCAGAAAGGCUACCUUGAGGUGGAAGUGAUUAGAGCUAGGGGACUUCAGGCACGUCCCGGCUCUAAAGUGCUUCCGGCACCGUACGUUAAAGUGUACUUAGUGUCGGGAAAGAAGUGCAUUGCCAAAGCCAAGACAACGACGGCCAGGAAGACGCUCGAUCCGCUCUAUCAGCAGCAACUUUCUUUCCGAGAACCAUUUGCAGGAUGCAUUUUGCAAGUGACUGUUUGGGGUGACUACGGUCGAAUCGAGGGCAAAAAAGUGUUCAUGGGGGUGGCUCAAAUAAUGCUAGAUGAAUUGAAUUUGUCCAAUAUUGUCAUCGGGUGGUACAAAUUGUUUGGAACCACAUCACUGGUCAGUGGACCGCCCAGCUUGGGUCUUUCUAGGCGUUCCUCAAUUGCUUCACUUGAUUCACUUAAGCUGUAAAAUUCAUUAUAUAUACUCUGGCGAGCCACAGUCGCGUGCAAAUUCUCUCACUUGUGGCAUUUGUCCCUCACACAUCAAAACAUCCCCUUACAUGUUGGAAUUUUUUUUUUAUUUUCCAUUUAUUUUCCCCGUUUUUCUCUGACACACACACACAUUUUCCUCACAAGUCUUUCACUUGUCUUUCGUUUAUUUUUCUUUUAAUUUUCUGUGUUAGUUUCAUUUGCACGGGAGAGAAAUAGAUUUAACCGAAGAAAAGCUCCCAAAAGAGCUUUCACCUUUACAACACAUUUGAUGUUUAAUUUGGCUUUUAAUUUUGGAGUUUUUUUCCUUUAGUUUUCCGUAGAAGAAAACCUUAUUAGUUGGACACAGGUAAAAAAAAUGAAAAACACAGUAAUACUCAAACCUGAAAUCUAGCAAAAAUUAGCUCAAAAUUCUCCUCAAAAUUUUUUGUAACAAAGAUAAACUAUCACGGAUCUUCUUCUUUCCUCAAACUAGUACGUAGUAAUUCCAAUUUUACAACCAAACUGUGGCAGUGAUUGAUUUUUGUCGCGACGGCGGAGUUUUAAUGCAUCAGUUGUGAACUUUAUAUUGAUCUUGUAAAUAUUAGAAGAUUAGAAUGAAAAAAAAAUGAAGAAGAUUAAACUUGUCUUAACUUAAGAGAAUAGAAGAUGAAACCAUGAACAAAGCCUUCCACUACUUACAUUUUAUAUUCAUUGAUGAGAAAAAAUGACUAAAAAAAAUUACGAAAAAAGUAAAUCGGUAUGUAAUGUCGUGGGCAGACUUUGGGUUUAGCCUAAGGAAUGUAUUUUAGGAGAAUAUUAUUUAUGUUUUGUUUAUUCUAAAAUGGAUAUUUCUUUAUUGUUGUCAAAAGUUCUAUUUAAAAAUUAAUUUAUGAUUCUACAUUUUGCCCUGAAUUUUCAUUCUUAUUUUCAUUUAAAGAAAAGUAAAAAAAAAAGAAAAAUUUGGACAACAUUCCUCUAGCUAAACCCAUAAGUCUGAGCCAUAUUUAAGAGACAUUUAAAACUGCAUGAAUAAAUGAAUUGCGUGAGAAAUAAUGUAAAAGAAUAGAAAUGAACUGCAAGUAUUUUUUUCCUUCUAUAUUAAGUACCGCAAAAGCGCUUCAUAUACAAAAAAAGAAAAACUAAAAGAAAUUACAGAGAUUUCAACUAAAGAGAAAACAUUAUUUUUGAAGUUUAUAUCACUAUAUUUGCAGAUGAAUAAAGUUAUAGAGAAAACUAGAGCAGAAAUAAGUAUUCGAAUGAAGAAAACUUUCAACUAAAAAGAAAAGAAUAAAUGUACUAUAAAAGGAUGUGAGAAAACCAUGAAGAUGAACUAAUUUGCCUUAAGCUUUUUAUGAAGAAAAAAAAAAAGAGAUUUCUUUUAGAUAUGUUGAAGAAGAAGAAAAAAAAAAGAAUAACGAAUUCGUUAGAGAGAAAAAAGCAUACAUAUACCCUAUAAAUAGCUUUUAUUGUUGCGUAUCAAAUGAAAUAUUUAAAUAAAAAGAUCUAAAUAAAAAAAAAUCAGAAAACAAAAAAAUAAAGAUAAAAGUUCACCAUAAUUCUGCUUGCUGUGCAAACAAGCUUAACUUUAAGUCUAUAUAGAGGGCAGAGAUUUAAUUUUGUACCAGAGAAACCUUAUAGGAAAAGAAAUGUUGCAGGAACAGAACAGAGUAUUCAUAAAUGAGGGGAAUGAGUAUAUUUUAUCUGACCUAUAUUUGCCAUUCCAAAUAUAGGUUUGGUUAAAAGCGCAGAUAUUAAAAAAAAAGCCAAACCAUAUCUCACAAAGAAGAAAACUUGGAAAUACUAGGUAAAAAAAAUGAAUAAAUUAAUAAAAAAAAAAUAAUAUAAAUAAUGCAAAAUAGCAUAGUUAGGCGUAAGUGAUGAUACAUAAAAUAUACAAAAAAGCUUCUUGGGAAUUGACAGAAUUAUUCAUAAAAAAAAACUAUUACUACCUUAUUCAAGAAAAAAAGAAUGAGAUAUCUAAAUUAAGCAUUAAAUUAAUCUAACCCUUAUUGUCACAAAAAAUGUGAGAUAAAAAACAAAGAUACAUUUAUAGCAAGUAAUUCAUCAAAAAAUACCUUCGACAUUUUACACCUCUGCAUGAUAAUACAAAUCACCUUUUAAAAGCUUUUUCUACAGUAAAAGAAAAGAAUAAAAAAAUGUAUAAACCUCAAAGUACAUCAAAUCUCCUUCCAUAGCUCACAAUCUUUACACCACGUUUUCCGUGAAAAAUAAUAAUGUAUUCCAUAUAGUUGCGCAAAUUAAAAGGAAAAUCUUUCAUUUUUCUUCUCUUUCAAAAAAAAAAAAAAUGAACCAAAAGUUCUGUUUAAGAAAAAUCCCUCCAUCAUGUCAUCCAUACCAAGGACCGGAAAAGCUCACCAAUUGUGGUGGGAAAUUUGUGAAUUUUAAAUCAGAUAAAGAUCCUUAAUGUAAGACAAACUAAUGUUCAGGUUUCUACAGGGAAAUUUGUGGAAAUAAACAUACAAAAAAAACGAAAGAUAUCACUUUGCAAAUUUUUAUUUCCAACACGGAGUUUUCUUUUCUUUUCGUUAUUUUGCUUUUUAUUAGACGAUGGGAAUAAUUUUUAGUUAUUUCAGUGAGGAGCAAAAUGGCUAAAUUUUGUUGAUUUGUUUCAGUAUUUUAUGAAUAGGGGAGAAUGGAGCUAAGAAAGUUAUUCGAGGGAUCAGGAAAAGCUUAAAAAAAUCAAGACUGGAAAAUGUUUCAAAAAAUUACAUGUUUGGUUUUCCUUUUCCUUUAUAGUUAUUUCUUUGAACAUUUUCAGUGUUUCAGUCGUUUCAGUAGAAUAUUAGGAUUUUUUUAUCUCUAAAAAUAAACUGUGAGUAAGUUAAAUAAUAAAAAAACGAUAAAAAAUCAAUUUUUAUCUCAAUGACUUUUUUUUUAAAUCUUAAGCAUUAAAUAAUUGAAUUAAAAAUUAAACUUGUUUUUAGCUUCUUAAAUAAUCUUAAAUUUUUGUUGUAAGAUUAAAAAAAAAAUAUUCAGAAGUAAUUAAAAUGCUCCUUACUGCAAAAAUAUUUCCAUUCGUCUAUUUAUUGGAUAUAUUUUUCUUUUAAAUUCAUUUCAACACGCAAAAUAUACACGAAAAAAGCUUUACUGUUGGAAGAUCGAAACAUCUCCAUGGGAAAUAAUUGCAAGUAAAUAAAUUUAAAAACCUUUUUUAUUAUUUUCCAAAUAAAAAAAAGAAAAAAAAACCAAAUAGAUUUGCAAAUCAACGAAAAGAUUGUUUUUUAUUUCAAUCGUACCAUGUAAGUGUCAUAUCUAAACACAUAAAACAGCUUAUUAAAUAUUCAAACGGGAGAAAAAAAAU